rnacentral:rRNA from 1 species
GUGGGGAAUCUUCCGCAAUGGACGAAAGUCUGACGGAGCAACGCCGCGUGAGUGAUGACGGCCUUCGGGUUGUAAAGCUCUGUGAUCGGGGACGAAUGGCUGGUAUGCUAAUACCAUAUCAGAGUGACGGUACCCGAAUAGCAAGCCACGGCUAACUACGUGCCAGCAGCCGCGGUAAUACGUAGGUGGCAAGCGUUGUCCGGAAUUAUUGGGCGUAAAGCGCGCGCAGGCGGCUUCUUAAGUCCAUCUUAAAAGUGCGGGGCUUAACCCCGUGAUGGGAUGGAAACUGGGAGGCUGGAGUAUCGGAGAGGAAAGUGGAAUUCCUAGUGUAGCGGUGAAAUGCGUAGAGAUUAGGAAGAACACCGGUGGCGAAGGCGACUUUCUGGACGACAACUGACGCUGAGGCGCGAAAGCGUGGGGAGCAAACAGGAUUAGAAACCCCAGUAGUCC